rnacentral:rRNA from 1 species
UACGUAGGGUGCGAGCGUUGUCCGGAAUUAUUGGGCGUAAAGAGCUCGUAGGCGGUGUGUCACGUCGGCCGUGAAAACCUGCAGCUUAACUGUGGGCGUGCGGUCGAUACGGGCAUCACUGGAGUUCGGCAGGGGAGACUGGAAUUCCUGGUGUAGCGGUGAAAUGCGCAGAUAUCAGGAAGAACACCGGUGGCGAAGGCGGGUCUCUGGGCCGAUACUGACGCUGAGACGCGAAAGCGUGGGGAGCGAACAGG